CUGACAGGCCUGGAGUCUGAUGUCUCCUAGGUAUUCACAGAUGAGGUGUAGCAUGAGCAGCAGCAGUGCAGUCAUCUCCCAGACAGCAGCCCUCUAGGGGUGUGUAGCUGGGUUGUUUGGUUUGGCCCAUGACCCUUAAAGUGCAACACUGUGAGACAGCUUAGGUUUGGCCAGCCCCUUGCUCACUUUCCCCUCGGCU
rnacentral:sRNA from 1 species